rnacentral:lncRNA from 10 species
GGGCCCAGGAGGUCAAAGCUGGAGUGAGCUAUUACCUUGCCACAGCAACCCAGACUGGGCAACAGCAAGACCCUGUCUCUAAAGAACAAACAAAAAACUACUACAACUUCACCUCUGUGGUCUUCCCCCCAAAAUCCAAUAACUCCAAAGUAACCACAAGAAAUGUAUCAAACAAACCCAAUUUGAGGGCCAUUCUACAACAUACCUGACUAGUACUCUUUGGAACUGUCAAGGUCAUCAAAAACAAGGAACAUCUGAGAAACUGUCACAGUCCAGAAGUGGCUAAGUGGACAUGAUGACUAAACAUAAAGUAUCCUAGAACACAGGCAAAAACUAGUGAAAGUUCUAAGCUGGUCUAUGUCCAUCACCUUCUUGGAGAAGGAGCCUUUGCCCAGGUGUACGAAGCUACCCAGGGAGAUCUGAAUGAUGCUAAAAAUAAACAGAAAUUUGUUUUAAAGGUCCAAAAGCCUGCCAACCCCUGGGAAUUCUACAUUGGGACCCAGUUGAUGGAAAGACUAAAGCCAUCUAUGCAGCACAUGUUUAUGAAGUUCUAUUCUGCCCACUUAUUCCAGAAUGGCAGUGUAUUAGUAGGAGAGCUCUACAGCUAUGGAACAUUAUUAAAUGCCAUUAACCUCUAUAAAAAUACCCCUGAAAAAGUGAUGCCUCAAGGUCUUGUCAUCUCUUUUGCUAUGAGAAUGCUUUACAUGAUUGAGCAAGUGCAUGACUGUGAAAUCAUUCAUGGAGACAUUAAACCAGACA